AACGAACGCUGGCGGCAUGCCUAACACAUGCAAGUCGAACGAGACCUUCGGGUCUAGUGCGCACGGGUGCGUAACGCGUGGGAACCUGCCCUUAGGUUCGGAAUAACUCCCCGAAAGGGGUGCUAAUACCGGAUAAUGUCUUCGGACUAAAGAUUUAUCGCCUUUGGAUGGGCCCGCGUUGGAUUAGCUAGUUGGUAGGGUAAAAGCCUACCAAGGCGACGAUCCAUAGCUGGUCUGAGAGGAUGAUCAGCCACACUGGGACUGAGACACGGCCCAGACUCCUACGGGAGGCAGCAGUGGGGAAUAUUGGACAAUGGGCGAAAGCCUGAUCCAGCAAUGCCGCGUGAGUGAUGAAGGCCUUAGGGUUGUAAAGCUCUUUUACCCGGGAUGAUAAUGACAGUACCGGGAGAAUAAGCGCCGGCUAACUCCGUG
rnacentral:rRNA from 1 species